UCCACGCCCUAAACGAUGUCUACUAGUUGUUGGGUCUUAAUUGACUUAGUAACGCAGCUAACGCGUGAAGUAGACCGCCUGGGGAGUACGGUCGCAAGAUUAAAACUCAAAGGAAUUGACGGGGACCCGCACAAGCGGUGGAUGAUGUGGAUUAAUUCGAUGCAACGCGAAAAACCUUACCUACCCUUGACAUGGCAGGAAUCCCGGAGAGAUCUGGGAGUGCUCGAAAGAGAACCUGCACACAGGUGCUGCAUGGCUGUCGUCAGCUCGUGUCGUGAGAUGUUGGGUUAAGUCCCG
rnacentral:rRNA from 1 species